rnacentral:rRNA from 1 species
CCUACGGGAGGCAGCAGUGAGGAAUAUUGGUCAAUGGACGAGAGUCUGAACCAGCCAAGUAGCGUGAAGGAUGACUGCCCUAUGGGUUGUAAACUUCUUUUAUAUGGGAAUAAAACGUUCCACGUGUGGGAUUUUGUAUGUACCAUAUGAAUAAGGAUCGGCUAACUCCGUGCCAGCAGCCGCGGUAAUACGGAGGAUCCGAGCGUUAUCCGGAUUUAUUGGGUUUAAAGGGAGCGUAGGUGGAUUGUUAAGUCAGUUGUGAAAGUUUGCGGCUCAACCGUAAAAUUGCAGUUGAAACUGGCAGUCUUGAGUACAGUAGAGGUGGGCUGAAUUCGUGGUGUAGCGGUGAAAUGCUUAGAGAUCACGAAGAACUCCGAUUGCGAAGGCAGUUCACUGGACUGCAACUGACACUGAGGCUCGAAAGUGUGGGUAUCAAACAGGAUUAGAUACCCGAGUAGUC